UUGUUUACUGUUUGGCUAGUUCAGGAUUAGUUUAUUUCAAUAGCUGAAUUAUCGCGCAAUAGUGCUGCAGUGAUGUAGAGCUAAACGUUCUUCUUCAUCUAAAACUUACACAAAUAACGAGAAAAGUGUUGAAUUUUUCCGAAUAAGUUGCUUCAAAGAUGCUAAGAAAAUGUUCCCUCUGAAGAAACAGUUCCUUGCAGCAGGAACACCAUUCCCAUAGCAGGCAUUCUUCUGUGCACCGGUAUCUUUACCUUUCAAUAUCGUAAUUUUUGGUCCAACUUGUGCGGUAGUCUUGAAGUUUGAUGAAUAAGGCAUACCUUUACCGGUGAAUAUCCAAAUGCAGCCGUGCAGGCCCGUUUUAUCGCGAGACCUCGUUUAUCACAUGAUCAUGAAUCGAAAGUAAAACCGAAGUCACAGAUGCCGUUGCGAAUGCUGGGCAAAACGGAUAACUCGAGUGCGAACAAUUCAAACGAUUACGCUUUGACGGUUCGAUGGUUGCUUCCGAACAAAACCAACAAAAAAGAAUGCAUAACACGAGAGAGAACACUGCACAUUGCGCUUUGAAGAAUUGCAUGCAUUUAUUAUGGAUUGUGCGGAGAAGAAUAACAAAGGAUGUGCCGCAUACUGACUGUAGCAACCAAGCGCAAACAAAGGACCUGUUGCAACGUUGCAACAGGGCUGCAUUUGAAAUAUGUCUUGAAUGCGCGAUGGUCAAAGGAUCCUCAAGCGAACCGAGCACACCGAGAAUUGGGAGCAUAUUUCUAACGGUACUUCAGAUGAAUAUCUAAAAAAAGAGGCAACUGUGGACUGAAGCCCAUCAGGAGUGCUCGAAAAACAUUCCAAAUUUAUCACUUUGAUCUAUUUCACUCAAGUUGUACCAGUUCACACCGUUUUGGAGGUGUUAUGGAAAAUGAAACAGUGCAAUGAGUGGUCAAAAAUGUUCAUGAUUCAAGAUCUUCUAAAUGUGCUGUGCAUGUGGUGUCGCACCUAGACCACAGAACGAAGCAGACAUCGGAAAUUCCCACAGGAUAACGGCGAAAGAUACAUUCAGUUUAAGGACAACGAACACAUCUUUAAUCGCAGCCUUUGUAUUUUUGAGCUGCAAAUCAUAGUGCUGCAGAUCGUUAUCCCACGAACACUAUCGCCCGCAGUGUGUGUUCGCCGUUCGCCGAAUAAAACGUUACAACCGGCCGGCACUGAAGUUGAUCUACUUUACGGGAUUCGGGUGCAAUUAAAUUACCAAUUAGCAAGCACGGUGAAGAGUGUAGAGUCACAACAUUCGCACACACACAAAAACAGCAAACCAGCAACAACAAAUGGCAAAGAAAAACGCCGGCGGUGGUGUCGGUGGGAAAUCGUUAGCAUUAAAUGGUUCGCGUGGUGGAAUUAACGGACUGGAACACACUCUAAAAUAGGUUUAACCAAUCGAUGAGAAUAAGUAUCCCGGGAGUAUAAAACGAAAAGGCACUCAAGCGCAUACGAACGAAUAAAAACCCAACGAGCACAACCGGAAGUCGCUUACAUGUUUUCGCUUCUAGAGGGAGCUACGAGCUAUAGAUGCUGACAGAGGACGAAUUAUUAAUGCACACACACACACUCACACACUACAAUGCACCAUGUCACAUCCACGUGACAGUAAGCUGAGAGAGAGAGAGAGACCAGAGCUACUACGAUCGAUCGAUGUGUACGAUGUGUGCAGUGCAAAAAAGGACAUAUUUGUAGAUAAUUUGCAUCCUACGAAUUGCAGGCCAGCGCGAUUACGAAAAGCAUAACUCAAAAUGAUAUUCAUAGCGGGUUGCCAAAAUAGAGCGAAGGAGAUAGAGUUUUGAACGUGUAUUUGUGCUAGGAAAAUUUAAAACCAAAAUAACCCUUUCCAGCGCAUUGCUGUACCACGUGCUUAAUGAAAAGCUUAAUACGCAAUGGCGGCACAGCGACAGGCGGAACUGGGUACUAAAAGGUUCAGUGUGUGUAGGUGUGUGUGUGUUGUUUUUUUUUUGCUAAAGAAUAUGCGAGCUACGAUCUUACUUGCGCCAUGAUCUUUCCAGGCUUUGCGAGCGUGUAAUGGGCGGAGGAUAGAAAGGGAAAACUGUAAGAAUGUUGUUAUUAAGGCAUACACGCAAGGUGUAGACUUGACCCUACCGGGGUAUGAUGAGCGCUGGGGAAAACUGAAGGAAAAUAAAUGACGGGUUCGAAAAACUAAUUUUUCACCCUCA